AGGCUUUGAUCCUGGCUCAGGAUGAACGCUGGCGGCGUGCUUAACACAUGCAAGUCGAACGAACCUUCGGGUUAGUGGCGGACGGGUGAGUAACGCGUGAGAAUCUGCCCUCAGGAGGGGGAUAACGGCUGGAAACGGCCGCUAAUACCCCAUAUGCCGAGAGGUGAAACGAAUUUCGCCUGAGGAUGAGCUCGCGUCUGAUUAGCUAGUUGGUGGGGUAAAGGCUACCAAGGCGACGAUCAGUAGCUGGUCUGAGAGGAUGAUCAGCCACACUGGGACUGAGACACGGCCCAGACUCCUACGGGAGGCAGCAGUGGGGAAUUUUCCGCAAUGGGCGAAAGCCUGACGGAGCAACGCCGCGUGAGGGAUGAAGGCCUCUGGGCUGUAAACCUCUUUUCUCAAGGAAGAAGAUCUGACGGUACUUGAGGAAUAAGCCACGGGUAUAUCCGUGC
rnacentral:rRNA from 1 species